CAACAAAAUCAGUACGAUUAUGGAGGAUUCAUGUUACAAAUCGAAUGCUAGUGUCUAAAUACUCACUAAUCCCAGUGUUUUGAGCAUAAGGAUCGAAAGAAGAAGGAGCUAGUUCCGGAUCACAAACAAAGGCACAAGAUCGAGGAUCGAAAGAAGAAGGAGCUAGUUCCGGAUCACAAACAAAGGCACAAGAUCGAGGUAAAGCACCCGUAUGAUUGUCAUCGCGU